AUCCAGUCGAUGAGUCCCAAAUAGGAUGAAAGGCGUGUCAAACUGGAU
rnacentral:hammerhead_ribozyme from 1 species